rnacentral:tRNA from 1 species
GGACAAUUGGUGAAGUGGGAACACAACCGGCUUUGACCCGGUUACGAGAACGUUCGAUCCGUUCAUUGUCUGCCA